GUAGAACCUAUGGAGGUAGAGCACUGAAUGGGCUAGGGGCCAAGUAGGUUACCGAACCCUAUCAAACUCCGAAUGCCAUAGGGAGGAACCUGGGAGUCAGACUACGAGUGAUAAGAUCCGUAGUCGAGAGGGGAACAGCCCAGACCUCCAGCUAAGGUCCCAAAGGGCAUGUUAAGUGGUAAAGGAAGUUGGACUUCGAAGACAACCAGGAUGUUGGCUUAGAAGCAGCCAUACAUUUAAAGAGUGCGUAACAGCUCACUGGUCGAGAGGUCCUGCGCCGAAAAUGAACGGGGCUCAAACAUGCCACCGAAGCUGGGGCUACCGCGGAAGCGGUGGGGUAGGGGAGCGUACUGUACGGGUAGAAGGCAAAGCGUAAGCUAAGCUGGACUGUACAGUAGAGAGAAUGCCGGCAUGAGUAACGAGAGUAAGGUGAGAAACCUUACCGCCGGAAGCCUGAGGUUUCCUGGGGAAGGGUAAUCCACCCAGGGUAAGUCGGGGCCUAAGCCGAGGCGAAAGCGUAGGCGAUGGGGAACCGGUAGAGAAUCCGGUACCACCGAGGGCCGCAAAGAGAAGUGGGGACGCAGCGAGAUAGGUGGAGCGUGCGGUUGGUAGAGCACGUCCAAUCAGGCACCGAAGGGUACGUAGGCAAAUCCGCGUACUGGCAGGGGUCUGAGAAGGGGAGCCGGAAGGCGAAGCCACCGAAGCAGCUGCCGAGAAAAGCCGCUAUCGAGGUCCAAGGUGCCCGUACUGCAAACCGACACAGGUAGGCGAGGAGAGGAUCCACAGGCGAGCGGGAGAACCCUCAUUAAGGAACUCGGCAAAAUGACUCCGUAACUUCGGGAGAAGGAGUGCCGAAAGGCCGCAGAGAAGAGGCCCAAGCGACUGUUUACCAAAAACACAGGUCUCUGCUAAGUCGGAAGACGAAGUAUAGGGGCUGACGCCUGCCCGGUGCUGGAAGGUUAAGGGGAAGUGUGAGAGCACUGAACCGAAGCCCCAGUGAACGGCGGCCGUAACUAUAACGGUCCUAAGGUAGCGAAAUUCCUUGUCGGGUAAGUUCCGACCCGCACGAAAGGCGUAACGACUUGGGCGCUGUCUUGAUGAGGGGCCCGGUGAAAUUGUAGUACUCGUGAAGAUGCGAGUUACC
rnacentral:rRNA from 1 species